AAGUCGUAGGUGAACCUGCGGAAGGAUCAUUAACACGUAUCCUACGCUAAUCCACCCGUGCACUUUCAUCGAAACCCCGCGGUAACACGAUUGUUCGCGGUCUUGUUAAAAGAGGGAAAUUCCUUUGCCUUGUGAGACUCAGCGGCAGGAACCUAAAGCAAGGAAUCCUCUCGUCGGGGACCAGCGGCAGGAACCUAAAGGCAAAGCACUGGUAGUCCCCCUCUCGGUGUUGUUGCUGGCGGUCGAAUGCUGUGAGGGCGGGGAAGAGUGUAUUUUUCGGCAGGAUUAGCGAAGUUGGGUAGUUGUGGCCGAGUUACGUGCUGCGAGGAUCGGGUCCGUCCCCCGUGGUAUGAAUUUACCCGAAACGACUCCAACCGAACAACUGUUAACAAUGGAUAUCUUGGCUCUC
rnacentral:misc_RNA from 1 species